rnacentral:rRNA from 1 species
GACGAACGCUGGCGGCGUGCUUAACACAUGCAAGUCGAACGGAGUGGCGAACGGGUGAGUAACACGUGGGUGAUCUGCCUUGCACUUCGGGAUAAUCUUGGGAAACUGGGUCUAAUACCGGAUAGUGCAAGAUGAGCUCGCGGCCUAUCAGCUUGUUGGUGGGGUAAUGGCCUACCAAGGCGUCGACGGGUAGCCGGCCUGAGAGGGUGUACGGCGACAUUGGUACUGAGAUACGGAGCAGACUGCUAUGGGAGGCAGCGGGGGGGAAUAUGGCACAAUGGGCGGACGUGUGAUGCAGCGACGCCGGGGGGGGGAUGAAGGCCUUCGGGUUGGAAACGCCUUUCGACAGGGACGCGGUACCCGUAUAAGAAGCACCGGCUAACUACGUGCCAGCAGCCGCGGUAAUAC